UGAGCUACGGUGGCACACGGUGGGCGACGACUAGGGCACUCUCGUAAUUCUAUCCCUUUUGCCUCCCCCUUUUUUCUUUUUUUCUUUUUCCUAAUUUAUUUACUCAUUUCCAUUAAAACAAAAUAAAUAAUAAAUAAAAUAAAAAAUAAAAAAUUAGGUGUUUCCUUUUCUUAGAUGUUGAUGUGAUGUAUCUCCCUCACGGCUUUUGUGUGUCCUGUUGUGCAAUAAAAUUAAAAAUAAAACCCCCAAAAAAAAAAAAAAAAAGUAGAGCUAGAGAGAGAAUGAGAGUGGAGUUUUUACUUUUUAGAGAGAGAAGGUGGAGGGUUUAGAGAGAGAGAGAGAGGGACAGGAUUUUACAAUGGGAGGAAAAAAAGGGGCAAGUGACAAACAGCGGGGAGGAGUUUAUGAGUUGUAAAGGCUCCACGUGCGGCACGUGUGGAGGAACCCGAGAUCUGGGCGAUUUAUCGCGAUAAAUUGAAGAGGAAAUAGACAAAGUGACGGUGAUUGAUUCUUUCUUUGCAUUUUUGGAACGCCUUCACUUUUACGUGCAUUAAAAGACAAGGAAAGUCUUGGGUGUGAGUGCUCACUGCUCACGCCCCUUCCCCUUGGACCACCACACCCCCACCCCAUCAUCCUACAAAUUUUAAUCAUCCCAUAAUGUAGCAGUGACGCACCAUCGUUGUUAAUUAUUUUACCUAUCUUACGUAACGUCAAAAGGAUAUUUGAUAAAAAUAAAAAAAAAAUUAAAAAAAAAAAGUCCAAGGGACAUGAAAGAUCAUGGUAAAGGUUUUUCCAUACAAGAAGGCCAAGUAACCGUUGGCAAUACCUUUUGAUUUUCAGCAACGGUGGGCUCUUCAGAGUAAAGCUUUUAUACUGACUUUAUACCUAACACAGCACAUUCCAGCCCUUUACUUGACCUUUUCAAACAGCUUACAUACAAAAUAUGCAAUUUUCUACACUGGGUUGUUCUACAAAGUCCGAAAAGGAUUGAGCAGCUGAUUUGCAUUCGGGUUGUUCUUUAGACCGAGACAGAUAGUAUUUUCCAAGGCAAAAAGGCUUUACUGUGAAGAGACGGUGACAAGUAUUUAAAUAGUAGGCAAGUGGGGUGGUUUUUGGAUGGCCUUUUUUCCAUUAAUAUUUUGUAUUGAAUGGAGGGUCUGUGUGUCUAUUCAUAAGUCGGUGAAUAAACCGUACCAUGGUGUGGUGAGUGGUCUCAUGCCUCAGUGACAUCAAUGCACUCUCUCAUGCCCCCUGCAGAGGUUAAUAACUGUACUGAAUCCGUCCAUAUCCACCAUCUGAUCUAUAUACUAUGGGUUUCCACUGAUUGGAUGGGAAUGGGGGGUGGGGGGUGGUCUAUUGUUGUUUUCAGUGGUCCUGACUCCACCUGAUGGUGUGGAGUGGGUACAUUGAUGGUAACAAACUAGGGAAGGGCAUUAUCAGUUUGAUUGAAACCAAUCACAUUUGUAGUCUGUGGUCUACCUGCCUUUUGGGGUAUGGACUCUCAUUGAAUCUGAUGAAGUAGUUGGAGACUUUAUGUCUAUUAUCUUAAUGGCACUAAUUAAUUGGCAUCUGGGGUUGGUAAAAUUGUAACUUUUUGGGGCAUGGCUGUAUGAUAGAAACCAUAGAAUCAUUGUGUGAUGGGGUGGUAACAUUUAUUUUAAUGUUUUUUGACAUGCAUUAAAGUAAAUUAGCAAAAAACAAUUCAUGGGUUUUUGAAUUCUCACCCGAUGAGAUAUUGGGCAUAUUCCCAUUUUUGUCCCAAUUAGAAUCCUCACAUUGGAUUACAGUUGUUUACAAAAAUCAGACUUAUUUUUGUUCUCAGAGGUAGAUUUUUCAACCACAUAUUUCUUCAAAUUGGGAAAAUCUAAAACAGAAUUAUAGCUCAUUUUUUUCCAAAAAUAAAAAAAUAAAAUAUCAUUAUUAUACAAAAACCAGUUUAGGAAUAAUCUAAGUUUUCAAAAAAACAAAUUAUUUUUGUAAACCUUUCCAAAUUAAUAACUAUUUUUUAAAAUAAUUAUAAAAAAUAGUUUUUGGAAACAAUUUUUUAAAACUGUUAUUAAAAUAUGUUUGAAAACUUAAAAUGUUUUUAACUUAUUUUUAAUCAUUUUAAAUAUUUAUAUAUUUAUUUUUUAAAAUACCUCUAAAAAAAAGGUAAAAAUAACUAAAGUGUAUUAUUUAAAAAUAUUGUAUUUUUUAUUUUUAAGAAUAAAAAAUAAAACAUAAUUUUUAAUUAUUAAACAAAUUUUUCAUAUUGUUAUUUUAAAGAAUAGAAAACUGUUUUAAAUAUCGAGGUUGUUGUGAUUGCAUGACUGCUUGGUUAAAUUGUGGCUGCUAAAUUUGCAAAUGAUCAUGAUUAAUAUCUUAAUCGUGUGUAGGAAGCUGUCGCCUGUACAAGAGGUGAGAGUGAGACAGUGAUGAAAAUACGAGUUUUAGUUUUGAUGAAUGACAAAUCCCUCCCAUUUUCAUCACUGCCCUUCACCUUUUUCUAUGCAAACACUUGGUCCAAUAGAAAAGGUGAAAUCAAUAAUAAAAGGGUUGAAAAAGCAAAAGCAGAAGGAGAUCAAUAAUUGCCAGCAAGGUGGAUUGGGCAUCAGAUCUCUUAUAUGCAACUCAACCUCUACUUCUCCAAUUGCCCCCCUCCUUUUCAAGGGCAUGGUCCUAUCACCUAUGUGGGUCACUCUCCCUUUACUUCCAUCAUGCCCAAAAUCCUUUCCCUCUAGGCUCUAUGAUGCCCAAUAACUUAAGUAGAAGUUCACCUUUAUUAUUUUUGGGCAUUAUUGGUACUAACUAUAUGUUGUAGUUACAAGCCAUUCUAUUUAUGGUAACAUUCUUUUUUAUCACCCUUCCAUCUUAAUCCAACUCAAAUUAACCUAUCAAUUAUUUUGUGGUUUCAUUUUAUCUUAUUUUUGAGAAAUCUAAAACUUAUUCUUACGUUUUAUGCAGAUUUUUAUAUCCGUUUAACUAAUCUUAUUUAAAUUAAUUUACGAUUUAAGUCAAAAUCCGAAACUAUCCCAAAUGAGACGUGAGUAUUAUUUUAUUAUUCUAUAUUACGGGAUAAUUAAUUUUGCGGGUUUUAAUAAAAUUUUAAAUUGUUUACAAAUGAAAUUUAGUUGAACGAAAGGCAUGUGAAGAGCAUCCUUGGAUGUUAAUAGUAUACAAAGAAGGAGUUGAUUGACUGCUAAUACCAAUGAUCUUAACUUGCCUUUUGCAUUGGGCGGUCGGCUGCCAUCAUUAACUAAUGAUCUAUGAUUGAGUAUAUUCCAAUACUGUACACGUGUCCUCCAUCCGCUGCACUUCUACAAAAGUGGACGGUUCUCAAGUACCCAGGAGCAAUUUUUUAAUUAGCACUCGCUUUACCAAAUCUGCCGCAUCUUUUCCCAAACACCAGGGUUUGGCUUCGUAAACAAGACUCAGCAACCAAAUUAAAAAUAAGUGAGUGAAACCCUGAAGUACGACGACACGUGGGAUCACAGCUGGAGUAGCAAUCAUGCCUUCCACUGGGUAGUGUGAUAUGCCACGUUGGCAAAAAGUGGGUGUCCCAGAAAACGUGUAAUGAUGGUGGAUUAUAUUGGAAAAGCAACUUUUCCACGUGGCAUGGCACGCCACGUCGAUAGCGUAGAGGGCUUUAUUACAACUGGAAGACAUCUGGCACGCGUUUUUGUUGUAAAUUGUCUGGCAGAAGUGGGCCACGUGGUGCCAGAGUAGGUCCACAGACAGCUCAGCGACUGGGAUUGUCGGUCGCUUUCGCUAGCUGUAAAUCAUCAUAAGCGGAGAAGCGUCCGUAUGCGGAUGACGUCAUUAUUAGAAACGAUUUUAUAGAAAUGAAAGUAAUUUUUGUUGGGUGGUGGGUGAGAUUUUUGAAUGAAAGUUCGAGAAAGUAGGGAGGGAGAGAGAAAGGAAAAAAAAAGUUUAAAAAAAGGCGGGACAGCGUGGCGGGCAUUUUGUGGAGGAGGUGGUGUUUGGGGAGUAAUAGAAUAUGGGGCUGUUUGGCUAAUAGGAUAGGAGUUCGGCUACGUGUAUGGAUCUGAUUGGCUAAUCCUGACAGAGAAAAUUUUGCCUAGUGAGAGAUGAUCUCGGGAAAGCAAAUAUAUUUGUUCGAGAAAUAUUAAAUUUUUAAUUCAUUUGCAAUAAAUUCAAUAGCAUAUGAUAUGAAAUAUUUACAUUCCAUAAACAAAUUUUCCCUUAUUUUGAUUUAGAUUUUUUUUUUAAGGUAUGGUAUCGGUAUAUUAAUACUAGAUUUUCUCAUAUAGAAAUAGAAUAAUAUGAAUAACUAUGAUAUCCCUCAUAGUUUCAACGGGAAAGUUCUCAAAAUUGUUUUUUAAAACUGUGAUAAUUUUGGAUUAAAAGUAAAUAAUAUCUAUACGAUUGGAUGUGAGUUACGAUAUUAUAUUUUUAUUUUUUGAUACGUGGAUUAUACACACGUUUUAAAAUAGCAAAGCCAUAUAGUCGGUGUAUUAUUUAAUAUUUGGAUAUUUUAUAAUUGUUAAUAAUUUUAUAGUUUUCACAUACGUGUUCCCAAUUUUAAAUAUUAAAACUCGUUUUAGGAAAAAAAAAUUUAAUUUCUAUAUCACAAAUAAUAAAAAUUAAUUUAAUUUACCAUGUUUGAGUUUUUACAUAAGCCCGUCUAAUUCCAUUAAUUCAUUUGUUUGAAAUUUUAUUAAAUACAUUUUAUGUCAUUAUUUUCUUUAGUUAGUUUUAUCGCUCAAGAUACAUGAGUUAUUUUAUAAAAUUUUAACGGAUGAGGAUUAAAUGUAUUUAACAAAAUCUUGAAAAUAAAUGAAUGAAAUUAAUCAUAAAUAAUAAUGCCUCCCUUUUCCAUACAUUUUUUUAGAAAAUCACUUAAUUAAAAAAAUACAUCUAUAUUAAUUAUCAAAUAAUCUUUAAUGUAAAAGUGAAUUUAGGUGAGAUUACUCAAUAUAAAUGUUUAUAGUAUGAUAUACAUAUUUGAACUCAAAUCCUAUAAAUUUUAAGUUUUUCGAAAAAUUGAUAAUUCAAUAUGAUAUCAGAGUUUUGUAUGAUAUGAGAUUGUAAACUCAAGCCCCUUCUCCACAAUUUGUAUGUUCGCUUCCCAGUCUAUUCCUCCUCUCCCCCCUACCUAAUUUGCAAUUCCGUGGUAUAACUCAACUCAGAGAUAAUGGAGAAAAUCUAUCACUACUGUGGCUAUUCAUAUUCAUCAGUCCAAUAUAACUCCAAAAGAGGUCAUUUUCAAUGUCUAUAUAAUACCAUGUUGCAUGUAGAUAUGAAGAUGAAUUGGUAACUGCUAGAAUCCAAUGUGUUGCAAAUUGCACUUCAAUUAUUGUUUCUGGAUUUGCUAAUUGCAAAGCUGUCUUCAUUUAUUUGAUGCUUAUCAUUAUUUUUUAACCUAUUGGUAAAAUAUAGGUGGCAAAUUUGUUAGGACGGUGGAAUUUGUACAUUAUGAUUUGAUUAUUAAUGUAAAAUAAGAUUUUUGGGUUGUCUUCUACUAUGGUCAAAAAUCUUGAUUAGUUAUUUUGCAUAUCAAUUUUUUCAACUUAAGUCGUAAAUGAAAUUAUGAAUAUGAAAACCAUUUUUUUUUUUACAGCAAAAGAACUUUGACCUUCAUUUUAACGAAGAAAAAAAAAACUAAGAGAAAUGUUUUUCUAUUGUCUUAUGGAGAGAGAUAAAAAAAAUAAGAAAAAACAUGGUUUUUUUUUUUUUUUUGGUCUUUAGAGAGAUUUUUUCACAGAAAAAGAAAAAGAAAAACUUUUCUUUUAAUAGUAUCAUGCUCUUUGAAAGUUUUAAACUUCAAAACACAGCUCCCUCGUUUUUUCAUUUUCUUAUUUAUUGGGUUAAAUCAGGUCAACCCAUUUGGGUGCCUAAUCCUAACUCCAACCGUUAUCAUAAAUAAGUGUUUCAAUUAUUCAUUUAUCAUUAAUUUACUUUUCUAACGAAUGAUAAAACUUCUUUAAACUUUCAAUAACCUGACUAAAAUGGCAUCGGACAACUUACAUUUAAUCUAUAUCAUGGAACGGUUUCGUACAAAAAUUACUUGGCAUUAAUGCUUAAUCACAUUGGAGGGCUAACCUAUUUUGUUUGAUACAUUGGACACACUUCAAUUAUUUAUACAGGCAAAUAAAACAAAAUUGUUCAUAAUUUUAUUCCUACUUGCAAAAAUGAGACAACCAAGUAGCCCUUAAAAUACUAACAAGCAUAAUUUGUAGAUUCUUAAGAAUGUAGGAGGCAUACUGAAUAUUGAAUACAUCUUUCAUAUUUUCAAUCAAUUGACUACCUUGUCUUAUAUCCAUAUCUCACAUUCAUAGGGUGGAUUAGAUUUAGUCCACUGAAAAUGAUGAUCACAAAAGUUUAUUAAAACAAAUGUGAGAUUGUGAUGUGAUUGAUACAAUUAUUUUUAUUAAAAAAAAGGGUCAAUUGUAUGAUUCAAAACAUCCAUACAUAUAUUUAAUUAAUUAAUUAUUAUUAUUUAUAAUUCAUGACCUCGAUUUUCCACUAAAGGAGUGGGUGGAAUUCUUGACAACCACUAAAAUAUGUGGGCAAGUUGUACUUUUUAUAUUUAUUUAUUAUUGUUAUUCAUUUUGUCAAUCCUUGAAUUGAUUAAGUCUAUGUUAUGGGAAAGUGCCAAUUUCUCUCUCCACGUGCAUAGCAUAUGACUAAUUUAUUAAAUUAGUGAAGCUUGAGAUCAACCUGCAGCUGCAUAAGGUAGGGAGAUUACAACUUUUGGUUCGAGGAAAUCAAGGAAACCUUUGAAGGAUUGAUAGAAAAGGGUUUGGUAUUAAUCAUUUGUGUAGCUUCUAUGCUUGAUGCUACUACUCCUAUUCAACCAUUAAUAUAUGGUUUUAAUUUUUUGUACUUAAAAUAGUAUUAAUUUGAGAAUGAAAGCUACUUUAUUGGUAUAAUUUGUAAGGAUUUGCGAUUAAUUUAAACAUAGCCGCUCGUAACCCACCAUAGAACCCUUUUUUAUUUUUUUUUCAAAUUCUUUAUUUGUGAAACUAUUUCAUUGAAAACAAGUUUUAUAAAAUUCAAUAUGGUUUUUGGGAUUUCUCAUCUGAUCGCUCCCGUUAAGCCAAGUUUGAGUAGGUGAUUAUGUUAUUAGAAUUCUUAGGUUUAGGACCGACAAGAGAUCCUCGUGAGUCAAGCUAAAAGCGGUAAGAUGUUAUUUAAAUUGACUUUUGAGAAUUAAAAAUUAUUUUUUAAAUUUAAUAAGAAUUUUUAUGUUUAUUUUGUUAUUUUUAUUUAAAACACUUAGUAGAAACUUAAUUUUAGGUUAUAAAAAAAGCCCUUCUAUAUUUGAUAAAAUCUUUAUAAUACCAAUACCAAAAUUUCAAAAUUAUCUUUUACCUUGUGAUGAAAGCCCAAAAAAAAAAAAGGAGUAAUGCCAUGUGAGGCAUAAGAGGCCUUAGCCCACACCCCACCAUUUACAAAGACAACAAAACCUUGGACCUGGGCCUCGGAGCACAGGCCCAAUGGGAGAAGAAUGGGUGGUCCUCUAUGAAUUUGUACGUUACAAUACUUCAUAUAUGGACUUGAAUGAUGUUCUUAAUUGCUGGAUUUUUUUAAAGAUAAAUGGGAUGGGAUAGUCUCAACAUCAUCAACUUCAAAUCAAUAUUUGUUGAUUCAUUUUCCUUUUUCAGCCUCUUGAAUCCCCAUGCACGUAACGGAUGUUGCUCUCACGAUUUCUCACUAUAUAUACAAACCACAGCAUACAUGCUUCCGCACUCGAUCGACAUGGCUCUGAUGCUGAAGCUCUUUCUUUUCACUCUUCUCUCUGCAUGGAGCCUGGGAUCCAUGGCUUCCGCACGGUACCUGGACAAGAGCUUCAGCCUUGCUGCUCGAUUACAUGCGGACGACGACUCAUCAUCCAAGUGCUGGGAGUCUUUGCUUGAGCUUCAGGCAUGCACUGGAGAGGUUGUCCUGUUCUUCCUCAAUGGUGAGACUCACCUUGGGGCCGGCUGUUGCCAAGCCAUUCAGACCAUUGAGCACCAAUGCUGGCCUGCCAUGCUUACUUCCAUUGGUUUCACUGCCGAGGAGGGCGACAUCCUCCAAGGUUACUGUGAUGCAACCACAUCCUCUUCGGCUCCCCCACCACCACCACCACCACCAUCCAUGGAGCCUAAUGACGUGGUUACCUUGGGUGGCUUUUUCCUCGAUCCUUAGUAGAACGCGUUCUUACUAGCAGUUAUGUCUUUUACAUAUAUCUGAUCCGCUAGUCUAAAUAUAUACAGAAAAGGGUGUUUGGAAUUAAUGAAUGAUUUCCUAUAUAUUGCCCCAUAUUUGUUGCAAUUAAAUUCCAUUUCUUGCUUGAAAAAAAGGUAUAAUAAUUUCCCAUCAUUGAUAGCACUAGUAGUUGUCUUUUAUGGGCUGGACGAGACACACAGAUCGACCCACAAUUCUGCUUACCCAGCCCAUGCUCAGUGGUUUGGACUAACAUAAUUGGAGGCCCAAAAGGGAUAUCAAUAAUAAGAUAAUGUUUGGAAGAUGAGUCUAUUUUUGUAUCUAGAUAAGACCAACUCAUCCCCCUCUAAUUAAUGGAGAGGUAACGGCGUGAAGGGCAAGAUUCUCAAGGACUCAAAAGCCUUUUUGCUUUGAUUUUCCAUCAAGGCAUCAGUGCCAUACACAUAAGUCCAUAAGGUAAUGAAUAAGGAGCGUCAAAUCAGGGUGGGAUGCGAAUAUGCGGAUUGAAAGCCAAGUAUUGAUUUUAGUGGUAUGAGGUGGGUCGUGUAUGGAUGGUGACAUCUAACUAUAAGUCUCUCAAAAGACUUCAAACUUCCCCCCAUCUCCGCCUUCUUUCAUGCUCUUUCCACUCUUCUUUUAACGUAGUAAUUUUUUUUCCCUUUGGGUAAUUAGGAUCUAAGCAUGGAAGAAGAGAAUAUUCGGAUGAGUGUUUCAAGAGUUCUUGGCUUUCUACACAUUGUUACUUCAUUUUCAAGCUGAGGAAUCAAUUGGUCAUUUGUUAUGUGCUUGUUUGUGAUCAUUGGGAAGCAGAUUUAGGGUUUUGAAAGGUCAAAUGCUAAUCAACAGAAGAAGAAAUUUACACCCCAUGCCAACAUAAAGAGAUAAUUGUGGUUAGGAUAGAUUUCAUAUAAUUAACUUCAACUAACUUCUCAUGACCUGCCAUUCCUAGUCAUCAUUCAGUUAGUUAUUUCCUUGCUAUGCCCAUGAUCGAUGCAUCGACCGUUUGCCACUUGUUUUCAUCCAAAAACCUGUCAUUUUCUCUCCGAUCUCGAUCCACUAGAAUGGAUCAAACUGGAUUCUUUCUUCCUCUGGAAUAAUGUAAAGCUAGACUAAAAUUUUAUACAUUCCUCUAUUGGUUGAUGGUUUAUUAAUGGUGAGAUAUCUUGUACAAAUUGAAUCAUCAAGGUCAUUGGAGUGGUGUCCUUGUUGACUAAUUAAUGGGUCCAUGUUUCAUGAUCAUAAGGCCAUCUUGCAUGAUUCAAAUAUACCCUAUUGAAAUGGUAUACAUACACAUGCACAUUGUUCAAAAACGCCCUAGAAAAAGGAAAGGAGGAUAAAAAGAAAUACAAGUCGUCCACUAGUGCCAUAUGUGGAAAAGUAGUGAGCAUACAGAUCUCAACUCCCCUAGAGAAAAUUGUCCUCGUAUGGAACCUCAACAAUGAAUUCUAGAGAAAGCUGUCAAGUGAUCACAGUCCAGAUGAAUCUUGAUUUAGAAGUUAGAAAAAUGAAGGGUUGUUAGGUUAGGGUAGUUAGUCAAUGGCACAAAGAUGUUAUCUUAAAAGUUGUGGAGGAGAGGAGAGGAGAGGAGAGAGUCAGAAAAAAGAAUGAACCUAUCAGAAGAAAGUAAGAAACAUCAAACUAUAAUCUUAUUAACAUGGAACGAUAAUCAUGAUAAAGCCACACAACAAGGGUUUCACAAGGACACACAGAGAGACCCAGGAAACAAGACACAAACUCAUCCAACAUAGCUCAGACAUAGAAAUUAUUUAGCAUAGUUGCUCACUGGCAAUUGUAAAUCUAAUUACACAACAAGCACACAUGCAUGCGUCUAGAAAAGAUGGUGAUGCUUCUUUCCAUGAGCCUCUUCAUCUUCUUCCUUGGCUUCUUUCUUCUCGUGAUGCUCGUGGAACGCGAACCCGCCAGCUCCCACUGCAGCAGCCGCGGCAAUCUCUUCUUCUAUCUUGUGCUUGUGGGCAUGCUCAGGGUCUUUCUCCGACUUGUGCUUCUCAUGCUAUAAUUCAAGCAUCAUCAAGACGAUAAGAAAUAGUUCCUUUGUAUAAAAUUAAUUAAAACAAAAAUAUUUUCAAACUUCAUGACACACGGGGCAUUACCAAGGCGUAAGCGCCAGCAGCAGCGACGCCGAGCUCGCCGAGGUGCUCGAGAUGCUUGUGGUGCUUCUCCUCCUUCCUGUAGUCAGGGCCUGGGUCAUCUGCUAACACUUCGGUGGUUUCGGCAGCGUAGCCGCUGACACCAUCGGUAGCAUAGCUGGUGUCGGAGUAGGUGGUGUCGGAGUAGGGAACGGCGUCGUCAACAGGCUUGUCCUUGUGGUGGAAGAGGUGGUGGUGAUGCUUCUCCUCCGACAUGGUGGUGGUGAUCAAAUUAGCUGCAGAAACGAGAGAGGAAGAUGGUUUGUGAACUGUGAAGGUGUGAUGUGGGAGAGUGCAGUGGUGGGUGGUGGGGUAUUUAUAAAUGCUGGUUGCGAAGGUGUCCAAAGAUCGUGGGAGAGAUGAAUGGGUAUUGGGAAUGGCCCGAAUGGGUGGGGCCUCACCAUUCACCAUUCUUAUCUACAUUUUUCAAAUCUCGAUGGCUCCUACUCUGUCGAUACUUUGUUUUUGUGUCGGCAAUUUCAUUGGAUCUUUAACCACGACAUUUUUUAACCACAUUUUUAGAUUUCCGUGAUAUUAUCAUAAUUGUUUUUGUUAGUCAUUCGUUGGAUUUAUUUCAAAAGUAGGAAAAUGUUUGAAAAAUAUACAUCAUCAUUUGCGUCUUUGAUCCACUCUCAAUAGGAAAUAAAUAAAUAAGAAAAGAAAACCACAAAGUCUCAGGUAGCAAAGAGUCCAUAUCAAAGUAUCAAACCUUUUUAUCGAUGAAUAUUUUUAGGAAGAACAAUCUAUUAUUUGUAAAAUAAUUUUUAUAUAUUGAGUGAUAACCCUUCAAUUCGAUAUCGUUAGAUCAUUAAGGUCGGCUUUUGUCCCUAUUCGACGGGUGGAUCUUGUAGUCAAACUCCCUUUUACCUUUGCACUCAAGGUCCAUCUUUGUUUUGCUUGAGAAAACCUUUGUUAAUUUCCAUUACCUUUUGAGAGACUUACGCUCUAUAAAAAUUAUUUAUCUAUUCCUUGACGAGGAAAUUCAAAUUCUUUUACUUAAAUUUAUUUUAUAAAACAUUAAAAAAGGUUAAAUAUAAUAAAAUUAUUAAAAAUUUGAAUUUAAGAAAUCAUUUAUUUUUUAAAUUUUGACAUGAACAUAUAUGGGUAAAAAACAAAAAGAGACAAAAACAAAAUAUGUUUUUUUGUGCAGUAAUCAAUUAAAAAAUCACUUUCAAUUUAAUAAAAGAUGUAAUUUUUAAUAUUAAAGCUUAGAGAAAAAAGAAUUGACUUGAUUGGAAUGAAUUACAAAAAUCACACCCCAAUGAAGAGGAACCCCAUACAGCACCUCCUUUCCUUUUCAUAAAGCAAAGACCUUUCAUCAGUAGGCAUGUGAAGGAGGGAAAUGAACUUGGCAGAUUCCACCUUAAAGUGCUAAAACAUGGCACUUGCCCCUCUUUCUAAUCAAACUUAACCCCACCUACAUUAUCUACAUUAUUUAUUGUACAUUAUCUUUCUCCAACUAAUACUAGUAUUUCACAUCUCACAAUUUUUUUAUUCUAUUGGAUGUGAGUCUAUUAUUGCAGUUAGGUCAGCUAAUCAGGAUCCCAUGGAUAAGGUGCCACAUAUUAAUAUUUUAGCCUUUUAGGUGUUGCUAUUCAUCCUCCUUUAUGACUUGGGCUCCAUUUCUUUGCUUGAACCUCACUUUUAGGGUAAUUUCUUUUCUUGGACUAUUAGUUUAUUUGUUGCACAUAAAAAGGCCACUUUAAUGGCCGUCAAACUUUGAUAAAAUAUGUCUUAUUUUGUACUUUAAGGUGGUGUUUAUUUUUUAAUUGAAUAAAAAAAAAAUAAAAAUAUUUGAUUUUUUCUAUUUAAUUAAAAGUAAUUUGUUGAGAUCGUUCAAUGUAACUAAAAUGAACUUGUUAUCAAUAAAUUUACUUUAGUUAUGUUAGACAAUAUUAAUAGGUUACUUUUAAUUGAAUAGAAAUAAAAGUCAUUUUAAUUAUAUUGGACAAUAUUAACAAGUUAUUUUUAGUUGAAUAGAAAAAACUAAAUAUUUUAAUUUUUUUUAUUCAGUCAAAAAACAAACAUCACCUAUAAAAAUUGAUAACUUUUAUAUAUUUGUACUAUGGUAGAUGGGCUUGGCCCACUUGGGCGUAGGGUAGAUAUUUGAAUUUUGAACAGAAAAAAAAAAAAGGGAAAAAAGGAAAAAAGGAAAGGGGAAAGAGAAGGAGAAGAUAAAUCAAUAAAUCAUAAAAGCAGGAAGGAGAGGUGGAAAAUGGUCCUCUGGUCUGGACCAGGAGAAAGUGGCCGGUGAUGGGGCCCAUUGGGUCUGUGUCGGCAAGGCCCCAUUUAUUUCGGCAUCAAUAUACCUGCCUGAUUGGUUCCAUGCCUGCCAUAUGUUUACGCUUUUGUCAAUUAUUAUAAAAAACAACUUCUUUGUCAAUAAACUCUUUAAUUUUUACUUCUCUAUCGUCUUUAAUGGGUGUGAAAAAAGUCAUACAUGCCUAUUGUAUUCUUCUCCUUUUUAGUAGGUAAAAACCUACAGGCUAUCCCUAAACUGAAUUUUAUAAUAUUUCAGAAAAUAUGAAAUUUAUUUUUAAUUAAUAAAAAUUUGGAUUAAAUAUCAAUCAUAAUUUCAUAACUGAUAUGGCCGGUGAUAAAGAACGAGUGAGUCACGCUAGGGCCACGGAUGUAUCACAUUCAUGGUGUGCCUGGGCUUAGUGGUUGAUGUGAAAUAGAUAUAGGUGUAGCGCAUAGUGUAAACGGGCCCAGGGAAAUUCAAAAUCGCGUUGCCACGUUCCAUAGAAAGGACAAGAAAUUAGAAGCUGGGAGUGGUCCACGUCUUCCAGGUAACCCCCACGCUGCUAACGAUUAUUCAAUGCCUUCCUACUCCAAAUCAAACCUAAUGUUCAACAUCGACAUGUCUCAUAUGACACAUCCUUAUAGAUGAAGUUGGUGAACUGUGGAGAAGAGAGAGUAAGGGCGUGUGAGCGGAGAUAAUUCACAAUUGAUUGGCAGGUUUCGGAUAUUUUCUUCGGCUUUGUCCUGGGUUUUUGGAAAGGUUUGAUUGGCCCGACCCAAUCCUACAACCCAUACUAAACCACACAAUCGAAUCCUACGAGAGACCAAACCCAACCUUAAAUCAAGUUCCUCAUUAUGGGCUUCAUAGCCCAACUUAGCACUCCAGCCCAUCCUAACAUUGGGAAAAAUAAAUUAAUGAAAAUUAAGACUAGAUAUGAAUAAUUUCUUUUAUUAUCUUAAACUGCUGAAAGGGAUUAGUUAUCCUACACAGCUUGAACAGAAAAAGAGCCCUCUAAAACUCACCUACUUGAGAUUUAAGGCAUAAAAAAGUCCUUACCUUAAUAAUUGUAAGAGAUCGUUGGAUCAAAUGAUUCAAAUCUGGGACUUGCUCACACAAUCAAUCCAUUUCAUGAGACGAAUUACCAGUGAGGCUCUCUUCACCAUCUACAAGAUUUCGGAUGUAGCGAGUCAAGUAAGAACUUGGACCAUAGCAAAUGCUUGAUAAAAACCCUCCAUACAGUAAGCAAUGGAUGCCAAGCUUAAACAGAUUUUUCCUCUCUUGGUUGGUGUCUCUCUGUGCUUCAUACCCACCAGUACUUUCUUCAUCCCAACUCGAAGAAUCCAUGGCAGUGCAGCCUGAAUGAGCCUGAAAACCCCAGAUCUUGGAAGUUUCCAUCUUUUGCAGCCAGUUGGAAUCAAUGGGAUCUUUAAAUUUUUUACAAAGAUGGUGUCCCUGGAUCAGAAAACUCCAAACUUUUGGUGUAAUACUUGAGACACAGUUAAGGAACUGCUUAGAUAUGUUCUCCAAUCCUCCAUUAUGAGCUUGACUCCCAAAAAAAUUGGCCUCGAAUUCAUCUGCUAGUGAGCACUCAUUGCAUUUAUGACUCUGAAGAGACGAAAGAUUUAGAACAGGCAACCUCCCUUUCACAAAGGAAUUCAAUAGUGAGCUUCUAGCAAGACUUAAAAGGGACUCCCCAGCAUUCAUCCAGAAGUUUGCAAUUGAUGCGAUCAAAGAAGAGUCAGAGAGGAAAAUACGGUGGGUUGCACCUGCAAGCAACAAGGAGUAUGCUGCACUGGUCUUGAUCAAGCUCAAGGCUUCCAGCUCAUCUCCGUCCAUUUCAGAAUGCAGAUCCAGUAAUUGACUAGCACGGACUCUGUAUGCAGAAGCCAGUGUUGUGUAGGCGGCCAAAGAGAGAUGGUGCAGGGGGUGCAACUUGAAAUUUGCUUGUGAUUUUCCCUCAAUUGGUUCUAACUGCUCAUCUGGAAGACCUUGAGCAAUAACAUUCUCAAGCUUCUCACAGCAAGCUUCAGGGUUGCCAACUGACAAAUAGUCAGCUAUAGCAUCAUCUACAUAAUCAGUCAACUUUCUGAUUUCCUCCUCUCUACACAUGUUAUCAUCUAUGUAAUUGAGACUAUGAGCCAAAGUUUCCUAUAGGGAAGAACAGAGAAAUGUCAAUCCUUGUUUUAUGACAGUACUAGAAUUCAGGCACUUCAAUUGCAGAUUAAAAAAUGCUUGUGAAGUUCAGACUUCAGAGUUGAUACAGAAAUAUUGUGAGUACUUCACCGUACAAAGUGGCCCCCGAAAAAUAACCAGAGUGGACAAGGGAAAGGAUAAAACAGGAUGAGAAAAGCUACUAUGAAUUACUCAAUAGCUUUUCCUAGUUCCAAUUGAUAUGGAGAAAAAGACUCCAACUGUCUGUCAGCCUUUUGAGAAGGAAAAAGCAGAUGUAACUAAGGGAGACAACUUGAAGAAACAAAAGAUAUGAAAGGCAAAGAAGAAAAUAAAUAGCACACAUACAGAUUCUGGAUGCAGCUCUAAUUGCAAAUGACGCAGCUGACUCAAGGGAGAGAAGCUCUAGGGCUGGUUUAGUUUGCAAGUUGGACAUAUGUACUUUGGUGUGCCCCUUUUGGCAUUUUAAUACAAUUUGCACUUACCUAUCAAAAAAAAAAAAAAGUUUGCAAUUUGGACAUAGAAAAGGCUUAUGACCAUGUUGAUUGGAAUUUUCUCCUCCCAGUAACGAAAAAGAUGGAGUUUGGUCUAAAAUCGAGAAAGUGGAUUCAUUUUUCCAUUGUAAGGAUGUCAAUCUUAGUCAAUGUUUCUCCUUCAGAUUUCUUUCAGACAUCUAGAGGAUUGUGGCAGGGUGAUCCUCUCUCACCCUAUCUCUUCAUGAUUGUCAUGGAAGCUCUACAUUGUAUACUCUCAAGGGCUGACUAGGGAGUGUUCAUUCAUGGCUUCAAGGUCAGGGGCAGAAGGGGUGAAGGUUUCCAAGUAUUCCAUCUCCUGUUUAAGGAUGAUAGAAAAAUUUGGAUCAACUAAGAUACUGGAGGUGGAUUGUAAUAGGCUUCAAGGUUGUGUUAGGUCUGAAAAUAAACCUGUAAAAAAGUAACUCAUUCUAAUGGGGAAAGUGGAGGAUGUGGUGAGAUCAUCAUCUUUGCUUGGGUGUAAGAUUGGAAGGCUUCCCACUUCUUAUCAUGGUUUGCCCUUUGGAGUGCUUCAUAAGUAUUGCGUUGUAUGGGAUGCUGUCAAGGAAAUGUUUGGUAAAAGAUUGGCUUCUUGGAAGGUGUGGUAUUUGUCAAAAAGAGGAAGAUUAGUUCUUUCAAAGAGCACUUUCUCAAGCUUAUCAAUCUAUUUUAUGGCCUUUUUUUCUAUUUCCAGGAAAGUGAGGAUCAAAUCAUAAAGGAUUCAGAGAGACUUUUUGUAAGGAAAUCUUUGGUAAACCAAUAAGAUGCAUUNNNNNNNNNNNNNNNNNNNNNNNNNNNNNNNNNNNNNNNNNNNNNNNNNNNNNNNNNNNNNNNNNNNNNNNNNNNNNNNNNNNNNNNNNNNNNNNNNNNNAGGAAGAACAUCCAAAGAAAGUGCAGGGAACUGGUCAAGGGGUGGAACAUUUGUGAGGUGAGGGAGACUUCUGGUAUAAGCCUAUGGAAAGACUUAAGAAAAGGUUGGGAGGAAUUCAACCACAGGAUAGCUAUCCAAAUUAAAAAUGGUAGCCAGACAAAAUUUUAGAGGGAUGGGUGGGUGGGUGGGGGGGAACUGUUUGAAAGAAGCAUUUCCUCUAUUGUUUAGUCUAGCUUCUCAAAAGAAUGCCAUUGUUGCAAACAUGUGGGAUGGGAGAGGUAGUGGAGGCCAGUGGGUGCAUUUCAAAAGGCCAUUCCAAGAUUGGGAAAUGGAGGGGGUGUCCUAAUUUUUAGAACUUAUUUAUUCAUACAGCAAAAGUGCAAGAAGAAGGGAAAGAUAUCUUAGUUUGGAAGGAGGAUAGGAAGAGAAUCUUCAGUACUAAGUUGUACUACAGUUCAUUGUGUGCCGAAUUUAGAGUGGACUUCCCAACCAAAGAAAUUUGGGGGCUCCCAAGCUCUUACGAGAUCAUGUUUUCUCACUUGGGAAACAGUAUGGGAGAAGAUCUCAACCAUAGAUUUGUUAAUGAAGAGGGAUGGACAAUGUUAAUAGAUAUAGUCUUUGCAAAGAGAGUGAUGAGUCUGCUGAUCAAAUUUUCAUUCACUGUGCAAUGACAAAGGUAUUAUAGAUGUUUGUUUUAUCAAUUUUUAGUUAGAAAUAAGUUUCUAGCUACAGUGAGGAAUAUGCUUCUCAAGUGGAAGUUUUUAAGGUAUUGGACAAGAAGAGUCACCAUCUUUGACAAAUGACACCCCUCUGCUUAUUCUGGUGUAUAUGGAAAGAGGGAAACCAUAAAAUCUUUAAUGGGGAAGAGCUUGCAUAUUAGAGAUUAAAAGAGAGCUUUAUUAAAUCCCUCUUUGAUUGGUCCAAAGUUCUGUUAGAAAUGGGCAAUUCUGAAUGAUGGCUUUCGUAAAUGGUCUUAGUUGUGGAUAGUUUGGUUUUGAGUUGAGGUUGUUUUUUUAUUCGUUGUUUUGUUUUUUUUGUGUUUACUCCCAGUAUAUGUAAGGUAUGCCCCCUUUCAUUGGCAUGCUCUUUUAAUAUAUUAUCCUUUUGCUUAUCAAAAGAAAAAAAGAAAAAAGAAAAAAGAAAAAUAAAGAGAACACAUAAAUCAGGGGAAGGAUGAAGGAAUUAAACCAAUAGGAAUGAGAAACAGUUGGGUAUAUUUUUUCGACAGAUACUUCAUGCAGCAGGGGCAAGAUGGGGGAAAACCUUACCACUCCUGGUGCCAUAAAUGUGGCAUAUAUGCAUCGUGUUCUAACUCCACACCUAGUACUAUAAUUUUCACAGAAGACGAUCACCCUUCCCCACCCAGCAAAUCUAAAAUCAAGUUGCAAAAUGAAUCUUCUAGACUGCUUUCGGAUUUCUCCUAAACAUCAAAAUAAACAAAUGAUAGGCAUACUGUUCCAUAGAAGUCUUACUUGCAAAACAAGAUCCACAUAAGUAGGGGGCGAUGCAUUACAACGGUUACAGCAACAGGAAAACCAAUACUUCACCCAUAACUCUGCAUGUCUAAUUUCCUGGAAAAUCAAAUCAGUGCAAAUAAAAGCGUAUAACGUGAACUCAAAAAACUAAAAAAAAAACAGAGUAUAGAAGGAUGAGUUGGAACACAUUUUAGCACAAUGCCACUGAGUUCACUUACACUAUGGUGAUUAUGCAAGUAAUAUAAAAUCAUGCAACUUCUCAUUAGGUCGACUCCUUGUCAUUUUUCGCAAUCACUUCAAACAUAAGGCACAAUGCAAUAAUCUAAAAGCUUAAAAGUAAUAGCAGAUAUGCCAAAUUUACAAGCACAUUUUGCACAUUCAAUCUCUUAACAGUGGAACUGUAGAUACUGAAAAUGAAGAUUACCUUAGGCUGCAACAGGUCUAUGUAUGCAACCCACACCUCCUCACCCUUUUUAAUUGCCUUGAUGCUCCGAACGAUGAUUCUUGGCCCGUGUAUGUUGCAUCCUUUACUAGAGAAAAUCAAUUACAAGUAGAUAAUCAAAAUAUCCAAUAAAUUCACAACUGAUUUUUUUGAGAAACCAAAUUGAAAAAAACAUAAAAUAAUUAAAAUAAAAAAGAUUCAAUCACCUUCUAUUGAUUCACUUUUGCUACGAACAGCAUUCUGUAUCUGAAAAACAUUUCGGUUUCAUAAUUUUCAAAUCCUUUGAAUAUGGUUAAAAUUAAAGAAACAAUUCAGAAUUUAGGAAUAGUGAUCUAUUUUUCUUUACUUCAAUUUCAUCAUUGCCUCCAGGGAUAAUCUGGAGCCUCGACUCGCCAGAAAACUGGGGCGUCUCAGGUGAACGGAGCAAGAAACGGUAACAAGCAUUGGGAGAACAGCUGUGAUUGAUCCAAGAGAAGCACCAAUCGUAGACGGCUAUCCCUAGGGCGGACCCUCCAUUAACCUGCACUUCAACUGCAUUGGUGAGGACCAGGCAGAGCAGGGCCUCCUCCAGUUUGGAGUCCCCGGAGAAUUCCGUACCAUCUCGCAUACAUCGGGCAACGGCCAUGGCCUUGCCGCCGUCUCGGAUUCUCGUCAGAGUCUCAUCACUUUCCGAGUUGUGGGAGGGUGAGAUGAGGUGGUGGAGGUUGGUGAGUAGGCCGCAGAUUCGAUGGAGCGGUUGGGUAUGGAGGGGAGGGAGGUGGAGGAUGUGGAGGAGGCGGAGGGCAGCACGGAGGUCGGAGGAGUGAGCGGUGGAGGGGUGGGAAUGGCGGAGGAGGAGGAAGAGGUGGUGCUCGGCGCUGGAGAAGUGGAG
rnacentral:lncRNA from 1 species